GAGGCCCUUCAGUGUGUGUGUUCGUCUCUGUGCUGUCCCUGCGUCCGCUGCUAAUUUCACGUGAGCGAUAGACCCAUCGAGGAGAGAGACGGUGACUGCGGGAAAAACACCUUGUACGGGUAAAACGUCUCGUCCACCCAGAGGUCGAGAAAGAAACUAGAAUCCAGGAACGUCACCGAGGGAUUUACGGAGCACCCCGAGACGCGGGGGCUCGCAGGAACGGCAGAGUUAUGGUUCCGCAGGCGGAAGUUGCGCGAAGCUAACAGGCAAAACCGAAAACGAGGCGAGAUCGAGAGUUGAGCAGAGGAGGCAUCACGGGCCUGAGGCGGCGGCCAGCCGCUACCGGAGACGAGCCGAUAUCAGUUCCCGGGAAAGUCGAGAAUUGCCUGCCGAAUUCGGGCCUCGCGCGCUAUCGACGUCAGAAGCGCAGAACGAUAGAAUAAUUAGCGCACCGCCAGGAUCUAACCGCCUGAUAACAGCCAAUGCGGAAGCGGCAGCGGCGAUAAGUGAGGCGCGACACCGGGAGCCUCCCGCAGGAUCGAGGAUCGAUGCUCACUUGUGCUGUAAGCGUGCCCCGAGCCGGAAACUGGUGCCGAAGACUCUACGGCCAACUCCCGGAGAAGACGCAGAGAGAGGUUCCGUGCCGCGCCCAAGGGUGAGAAGAGCGUCACGAACGAAUUGUAAAGUCACCGAUUUCGCGAUCGAAGGCGGGUGGCGUCGCGACUGACAGAAUUAAGUGGAGUUCGCUCCAUAACUGUCUCGUAUUCGCGUGCGAUGUUGUAACGCCGUUAACGCAUUCGUUGUCGCAGCCGCGACGUCGCUCACCCGAUCCCGCCGCAUUAACGCAGUUUCUUUAGUUCCGGUAUUCGCGCCUGUAUCGCCACAGCCAAGCCGUCGUUGUAUCGUAAGUUCGUGUAAGUGUGCGUGUGUGAGUCUUGUCUGAUUUUGAGGGUUGAGCGUAGCUUGGUCACGGUAGUAGCGGUGAGAGACAUCACGAGACCCUUCGACUAGCGUGUGCACCUUCUCCCGUGGCGAUCACCUUGCCAAAGAGAUUAAACGUUACGCUGGUGACUGUCCCGCGAUGCCGUGCGAUUACUGAGUCGCUUCGAGUAACAUUCCGCGAAUUUGUGCCGCAUUCCGCACGCGGAUGGACCGCGUGCGAGGUCUUGUAGUCUACUAACCCGACAAUUCGAAAUACACGUUGUUAUUUUCUCUUUGUUAA
rnacentral:lncRNA from 13 species